rnacentral:rRNA from 1 species
CCCUUAGAUGUUCUGGGCCGCACGCGCGCUACACUGAUGCAUUCAACGAGCCUAUCCUUGACCGACAGGUCCGGGUAGUCUUUGAAUCUGCAUCGUGACGGGGAUAGAUUAUUGCAAUUAUUAAUCUUCAACGAGGAAUGCCUAGUAGGCGCAAGUCAUCAGCUUGCGUCGAUUACGUCCCUGCCCUUUGUACACACCGCCCGUCGCUCCUACCGAUUGGGUGUGCUGGUGAAAUGUUCGGAUCGGCCGUUUGUCGCGGUUUCCGCGGCUCGUGGCUGAGAAGUUCAUUAAACCCUCCCACCUAGAGGAAGGAGAAGUCGUAACA